ACUCCUACGGGAGGCAGCGGUGGGGAAUCUUGCACAAUGGAGGAAACUCUGACCCAGCGACGCCGCGUGAGUGAAGAAGGCCUUUGGGUUGUAAAGCUCUUUUGUAGGGGAAGAUAAUGACUGUACCCUAACAAUAAGGUCCGGCUAACUUCGUGCCAGCAGCCGCGGUAAUAC
rnacentral:rRNA from 1 species